rnacentral:rRNA from 1 species
ACGAACUCUGGUAUUGAUUGGUGCUUGCAUCAUGAUUUACAUUUGAGUGAGUGGCGAACUGGUGAGUAACACGUGGGAAACCUGCCCAGAAGCGGGGGAUAACACCUGGAAACAGAUGCUAAUACCGCAUAACAACUUGGACCGCAUGGUCCGAGUUUGAAAGAUGGCUUCGGCUAUCACUUUUGGAUGGUCCCGCGGCGUAUUAGCUAGAUGGUGGGGUAACGGCUCACCAUGGCAAUGAUACGUAGCCGACCUGAGAGGGUAAUCGGCCACAUUGGGACUGAGACACGGCCCAAACUCCUACGGGAGGCAGCAGUAGGGAAUCUUCCACAAUGGACGAAAGUCUGAUGGAGCAACGCCGCGUGAGUGAAGAAGGGUUUCGGCUCGUAAAACUCUGUUGUUAAAGAAGAACAUAUCUGAGAGUAACUGUUCAGGUAUUGACGGUAUUUAACCAGAAAGCCACGGCUAACUACGUGCCAGCAGCCGCGGUAAUACGUAGGUGGCAAGCGUUGUCCGGAUUUAUUGGGCGUAAAGCGAGCGCAGGCGGUUUUUUAAGUCUGAUGUGAAAGCCUUCGGCUCAACCGAAGAAGUGCAUCGGAAACUGGGAAACUUGAGUGCAGAAGAGGACAGUGGAACUCCAUGUGUAGCGGUGAAAUGCGUAGAUAUAUGGAAGAACACCAGUGGCGAAGGCGGCUGUCUGGUCUGUAACUGACGCUGAGGCUCGAAAGUAUGGGUAGCAAACAGGAUUAGAUACCCUGGUAGUCCAUACCGUAAACGAUGAAUGCUAAGUGUUGGAGGGUUUCCGCCCUUCAGUGCUGCAGCUAACGCAUUAAGCAUUCCGCCUGGGGAGUACGGCCGCAAGGCUGAAACUCAAAGGAAUUGACGGGGGCCCGCACAAGCGGUGGAGCAUGUGGUUUAAUUCGAAGCUACGCGAAGAACCUUACCAGGUCUUGACAUACUAUGCAAAUCUAAGAGAUUAGACGUUCCCUUCGGGGACAUGGAUACAGGUGGUGCAUGGUUGUCGUCAGCUCGUGUCGUGAGAUGUUGGGUUAAGUCCCGCAACGAGCGCAACCCUUAUUAUCAGUUGCCAGCAUUAAGUUGGGCACUCUGGUGAGACUGCCGGUGACAAACCGGAGGAAGGUGGGGAUGACGUCAAAUCAUCAUGCCCCUUAUGACCUGGGCUACACACGUGCUACAAUGGAUGGUACAACGAGUUGCGAACUCGCGAGAGUAAGCUAAUCUCUUAAAGCCAUUCUCAGUUCGGAUUGUAGGCUGCAACUCGCCUACAUGAAGUCGGAAUCGCUAGUAAUCGCGGAUCAGCAUGCCGCGGUGAAUACGUUCCCGGGCCUUGUACACACCGCCCGUCACACCAUGAGAGUUUGUAACACCCAAAGUCGGUGGGGUAACCUUUUAGGAACCAGCCGCCUAAGGUGGGA